AUAUGUUUGUUAUGGUAAUGUAGAAUAAUUUUGUAUCUUCAAAAAUUAAUUAAGUGUAAAAAAAGAAGAAAAAAAUCAAACAAUAUUGUUAUUUAUUACAUUAGACAUGUAAAAAUAUAUAUUCCCAUGGUCUGUAUAUAUAUGAAUAAAGAAGCCCAG
rnacentral:ribozyme from 1 species